GUGGGUAGGCGAGGAAUGGGAAGGAGAGGAGGAGGAGCCGGAAGAGCCCAAGCCUCCUACUCAGUCCGGCGGGCCGAGCUGGGGCGGAAUGGUGGCGGCCUGCUCCUGCUCCUGCUCCUGCUCCUGUUCCUGCUCCCGAUCCCGAUCCUGGUCCCGGUCCUGGUCCUGGUCCCGGCUCGGUGGCCGCUGUUCUCCAGAACUACAACUUGCAGGUAAUUGCCUUAAACUUGAAGAAACGAAGAAGUCAUCCCAAGACUAAGCAAGACUCUCUUCUAACAGUGGUGAGAACUUAAUUGCUUCUUGAAGCAUAAUCUUCAACAGAGACCAAUCCCUGUUCCCUCAUCUGUAACAGAUAAAUUGGCAACUUGCCAGGGGAAGAUCUGCUGUGAACUUCAGGUACCCGGUUUCAGCUCACCAAACAGCAGCUGUUUGGGGAUUCUUCUGUCACCCAUUCUCCUCACAUGCCCCACCUAACACAAUUGGGUUGAGAUCAAUUGGAUAUGGAAGGACCUACACUCCUCUGCACUUAGUGUGCCUAGUUACAGGAAAUCUCCUUUGCUCAAGAUAAUUUCCUACUCCAGCCCAGUAUUCAACUUACCAGAGCUGCACUGAUCCUUCUGGUGCAUAAAUAAAAUUGGGAGCUGGAAAAACAGCUGCAGCUAGACUUCAAGCCAAAUAAUCCUCUCUGGUGUAAAAUGUGCAUCCAAUGCAUACAAUCACAACUCUGGAAUGACUUGUCCCAUCCGUGAACUUUAUUUUGUUUCGUCGGGACCAAAAAAACCAUGCCAUGUGACCUUUGAUAGCAUGUGUGGAUUCUUCCUAAAAAUGACAAGACCCCUUGGAUGUGUUACACAUGGUGGCAGAGGAUUAAGGAUGAGCUCAUAAUCUGGUACCGUUCCUGGGUUUCAAAAAGCUGUUUUAGCUGUGAAAGAAAAGCAGCAAUCUUUAAUUCAAGAACAUUCCAACAUGAGAACGGAAGCUGAAAAGAAGCACAAGAGAAAAGACCGUCCAAGUGGUUUUGAAUGGUUCAAACUAAAGGUUAGAAAUCUGCUGAAGCUGUCUUCUGCAUCAUUUGUUGUCAUGGGAACCAAGAUCAUGCCACUCAGAUGUCUAUAACUGCCAUGAAGGGAAAGUAAAGAGGGGAGGGGCUGAGGAAUCCCACUUCUGCACCUGUGAGAAAUCAACAGGAAAGUUCCUGGGCAACUACUGUUGGCAUCCCAAUCUUCUCCAAGCCUCUGCUUAUGAUUUGUGCUUUAGGGAUGUGGAAACUGAAGCACUUCAGGAAACUCUUCUAGUUCACCAGGCUAAGUGUCAUCAAAAGUCAUGAAAAAGUGCAGAGUUCAGCAAACGAGGCCCUGUGGAAACGCAUAUGCAAUGUGGCAAGCAAAUAUUUAUUAAUAUCUUUGUAAACUCAGUAAAUAUAGACUGAUAAGUUGAAGAAGCUUCUUACCCACAACCAGUGUCCCCUUAAACUGUGCAAGAUAUAAGAAGUAAUUGGGUGUGCAGUUUAGAAGCAAAAGGGCCCAGCUACAGGGCUUAAUUUAUGUUGCAGCAACCUGAGUCUCAAUCCUGGCAACGUCUGUUCAGCUUCAAGAUCUGCACCACAGACAUCACAUCUUGAGCUGUUUCAUCAGCAGUUUUAUCUUUGGUCUUUCCAAGGUAGCCCCCUAAUGGUACCUAGCAUUUGACUUUCCCAUCUCCAAUCCAUUGCCUGUGUCUUUCCACCUGCAUAGAACACACAUUUUUCCUUUUUCUUCUAGCUCUAAAUUAUUUUGUAUUUGUCUUCCCCACCAGACUGUAAGCUCCUUGAGAUCAGAUGCCUUCUAUAACAGUACUGUAUUCCCCUUAGCUCCAAGUACAGUGCUGGUCACAAAGUAGUGGCUUCGUAAAUUUGAGCGAUCAAACUUCCACUCAGCUCUGCCAAACCUCAUCUCCCCUUACCAUCAAGUCCUCCUAAAAAAAAGCCUCCAAGAGGCAUUCCAAAACUAACCCACCACUUCCCUAAGCAGUGCAUCCUAUGAGUCAACCCUAGUACGUCACUUGAUUUAUCCCAUUUCUGUAUGCAUUCAUUUUGUGGUUACCAGUUGUAGCUCAGUUUUCCCUUUUGUUCUCAUUGUAUGCAUAUUAUUUAUGUCUACCUUUCUCCCUCAAAGUUCCUGGAAGUCAGGGGAUACUUUUAUUGUGUGCUCCCAAGCAACUAGUACAAUACUUGGCUCACAGCAGCCAUUCACUGAAUACAGAUGAGCAGCCUAACUGUCCAUAAUUAACAUCUGUUGGCAAGUAGGAUUAUGAACAACAAAGUCCUGCAAAAUCAUCAAUCACUAGGAUCAAAGCAAUUUACCACAAAACAGUUCUAAUAAUUAUCUAAUUUGAUGUGGUAUCCUACUGCUUAGUUUCUGCUCCUUACUUUCCCUGGUGAGGGUUGAUAAGGAUUAGGGAAAGUAGAUAAGACCCAGUUUUCUUCUCAGAUGAAAUUUUUCUGGGAAAUUCAGAUGAGCUAAUUCUUGUUGAUUUUGGUGAAAAGUUCUGUGAACCAGAUAUUUGAAACUACAGUUAUCUGACCUGAAUUCAAUAUAAGGGAGAGUUGAAAUCAGGGACAUCAAUACCAAGGAGGCAAAGGGAACAGUUGCUUCCCUGGGAUUGGGAGAUGUGAAGCCAUUAGCCUUAGCCCAACUGUUUUUUGGCUAGGACUGUCCAUCCCUCCCUUGGAAAUGGUUAGGAGCCCAGAGGAAAUAAAUGGAGCCCCCCUCCUGUUAGGACUGUUUUCUGCCAGGACCAGAGUUGGAACCUCUCCGGCCUCCAGCUGCAGUUGGAAGAGCUGAUACCCAGAUUCAGCUGCAGCAAGAAGCAGGCUGUCCCUAAACUGUGGUUGAGGGAUGGGUUCACUUUGCUCCUGACUGACCCAAGCUGUCUCCUGUUGAGACCCAGGCCAAGUCAAGCCAACAUACUCACUGCAUCUGGUUCUCAUCUCUGUGGCUAAGGUCCUCUUGCUGACAUCCAUCAUUCUUUCUUCAGUCCCUCCCUUUUCACCUAAGAGCACACCACUGUUCUCUCCAUCUUCAAAGCCUUACUGAAAUUACAUUUCCUUCAGGCAGCUUUCCUUGAUUAAUCUGUCAUUUUGCCACUGUAUUCAGAACUUCCUCAUCACCUAAGCACUUGAAUACUCUCCCCCAACCCUUCUAUCAUUUUUGUACAAUUCUUUAAACUCUUUUGCUUCCCUCUGUUUCCACUCCUUUGCCUGUCCCUCCCCCCUAGAUUGCAAGCUCUUUGAGGAUAAAGGAUCAUCGUGGCUCAGUGGAAAGAGCCCGGGCUUGUGAG